AGCGGGCCGAUUUUGUGCCUAGCCCGGUUUAAGCAGGCUUGGCGCGGGUAGCCCGGACGUACCCGCUGAGACACGGUGUAAGCUGCUCCCUCUGCCUUGGGUGUCCUGCGAGUGGGCAGCACCUGGAGCAAAGCGUUCCUGGCAUAAGCGGGUGGGGAGAGAAGAACGUUCACAUACCAACUACCCAGCUGACCAUGCGGGCUCCACGCUGCAAAUGCUCUCCUGCCCAGACUACACAGAGGAGUACUCCUGUGGAUCUCCUGGGUCUGUGGCGAUAAGAGGCUGUGCAGGCAUAGCUCCGAUCCAGCCAUAGAAAUGUCGACACUGAUGAGCAGAUCACUUGGGGGAUGGGAGAGAAGGGCUACAAGAGGGACAUGCAGCAGAGCCACAAGAAAAUCAAGGAGCUGCUGUAGGGUACCAGAAGGCAAGGAAGGCAAACAGUCACGCUGGUGCAGAGCCGCAGACAUGCCGCUUCUCUAAGGAGCUCUAUGACAUCCUCACCAGCGACACUCCCAUCACCGCAAGGGCCCUGUGGAUGCUUCAGGGGAGCUGGAUGUACAGGCCACCAAAGUGAACCCUGAGGAUGAGGUGUAGGAACCUCUGCUGUAAAUGCGGUCUUGAGGGUCUCUCCAUCCACACUGGUGGAGUGGCUUAGCCAGGUGAGAAGGAGGCUGAAGAGGACAAGGAAAGAUAUGUCCCAGGAGAUCCUGCAAGACUCUGGUGCUUUGGAUACCAAGCAGCGGUGUUAUACCAAUAUAAUAAAAACCAGCAGGAUCUUAUUAAGAGGGAUAAGGCAAAGAUGCCACAUUUAUUCGGGCUUGGAGGAUUACACUUGAGGACAGAAUGGACAGGGAUAGUGAGGACAGGAAAGACGGACAGCAAGAGAUGAUAGUACUUCUCAGGGAGCAGACAGACAUGCUGUGGUCUCUGACUGACCUUCAAGCUCAAUAGGUCCAUGCUCGCCUCCCCCUGCAGCCAAUAGAGAACUGCAUUUUGGCACUUUUCUACACGCCCUCCUCCCCAAUCCACAUGGCAUCUGUAAUACCAUGCAAUACCCCUACCACUCCACCUGGGCGAGAGUGUUUGUGAAAUGGAAGUGACUGUUCUUUCCCCUUCAAAGGUUCUUGUCCCUAUAUUUAUAAAGUUUUGGUCUGCUUUAAAUAUGUCUAUUUGCAUGGGUUCAGAAUAAAAGUCU